rnacentral:rRNA from 1 species
UACAGAGGUCCCAAGCGUUGUUCGGAUUUAUUGGGCGUAAAGAGCGUGUAGGCGGCCUGAAAGGUCAGCUGUGAAAACUCGAGGCUCAACCUCGAGACGACGGUUGAAACCAUCUGGCUAGAGUCCGGAAGAGGAGUGUGGAAUUCCCGGUGUAGCGGUGAAAUGCGCAGAUAUCGGGAAGAACACCCGUGGCGAAGGCGGCACUCUGGGACGGUACUGACGCUGAGACGCGAAAGCGUGGGGAGCGAACAGG